rnacentral:sRNA from 2 species
AUAUCUCUCUGUACGGGAAGGAUGAGAAGCUUCGACUAAGGUUCGAUUCGAGCGGCAGCGAGAAAGCGUUGCCGCAGGCAACGACCCGAAGGGCGAAGCGCGCAGCGCUGAGUCAUCCUUCCCCCACCACCA